UCAAAUUGUCCCAAAAAAGAAAUGGGUAAAAGUUAAACGUGGUGAAUGAUAGAAGAGAUUAGAAAUUGGAAAGACGUUGAACUACUUAGAAGGGGCAGAGAGACAAGCUUCAAAGGUGUGAGAGCUCGUAGUGACUAGUGAGUGGCGCCUGUCGAAGUAAUCUAUAUUUCUUCUGACUGGGUUAAAGAAAGCGUGUCA